UCCUCACCACAUAUCUGCACCUCCAUUUUACAGGCCAAGCAGGUGGGGUUCAGAAGUGACUACGUGGGAGAAGAGCCAAGCUGGCCUCCAGGCCAAUGUCCUUUCUAUUGUGGCAGUGAUUCAGGCCGGUGCUGUGCCGGCGCUGUGGCCCAGCAGGUUAAAGCCCCAGCCUGCAUCCCAUAUGGGUGCCAGUUCGAGUCCCGGCUGCUCCUCUUCCAACCCAGCUCUCUGCCAAGGCCUGGGAAAGCAGUAGAAGAAGUCCUUGAGCCCCUGCACCUGCGUGGGAGACCCGGAAAAAGCUCCUGGAUCCUGGCUCCUGGCUCCUGGCUUCGGACUGGCGCAGCUCCAGCUGUCGCAGCCAUCUGGGGAGUGAACCAUUGGACGGAAGAC